rnacentral:lncRNA from 1 species
AUAAGUGCUUUUUCUCCGUGUUUCCAAUUCUUUGACUUUCUUUUAGUUACUUCUAUUUCUUGCGUCUUCCCUUAAAUGACUAACUUUCUGAGAACUUAUUUGCUUAUUUAUGAAGAUUUGAGGACUUCCAAUAUUGAUGGUGAUAACCUUGACGGUGUAGAAGACGUGGAUGAUGAAGGAUCGUCCUUUGUAACUCUUGAGGGGGGAUUAAAAAUCCCAGAAACUAUUUUUGGCAAACUUUUUGACUAUCAGAAGGUUGGUGUCCAAUGGUUAUGGGAACUUCAUUGUCAAAGAGCAGGUGGAAUAAUUGGAGAUGAG